CCUACGGGAGGCAGCAGUGAGGAAUAUUGGUCAAUGGCCGAAAGGCUGAACCAGCCAAGCCGCGUGAAGGACGAAGGUGCCAAGCGUUGUAAACCUCUUUUGUCAGGGGACAAAAUGAGGCACGAGAGACUGAUCGAGGGUACCCGAAGAAAAAGCAUCGGCUAACUCCGUGCCAGCAGCCGCGGUAAUACGGAGGAUGCGAGCGUUAUCCGGAUUUAUUGGGUUUAAGGGGUGCUCAGGCGGAGGUGCAAGUCAGCGGUAAAAGUCCGGGGCUCAACCCCGGACUGCCGUUGAAACUGGCUGUCUUGAGUGGGCGAGAGGUAUGCGGAAUGCGCAGUGUAGCGGUGAAAUGCAUAGAUAUUGCGCAGAACUCCGAUUGCGAAGGCAGCAUACCGGCGGCGAUCUGACGCUGAGGCACGAAAGCGUGGGUAUCGAACAGGAUUAGAUACCCCUGUAGUC
rnacentral:rRNA from 1 species